rnacentral:misc_RNA from 1 species
GAAAUGCGAUACGUAAUGCGAAUUGCAGAAUUCAGUGAAUCAUCAAAUCUUUGAACGUAACUUACGCUCUUGGGUAUCCCUGGGAGCAUACUUCUUUGAGUCGCGUUUCAACCCCAAUCUCGACUGCGUGUUAUCAAAAACAGGCAGCUUCGGAGAAUGAGUGUCUGCUGGUUCGACAAGGGUCAGCAGUCCCUUGAAACGUGAUGAAUCGUUGCCCUCCGAAAACACGUUUUCGGUGAUUUCAACUAUCUGGUUCCAAAUCGAUGUUUGAUAAUUGACCACUUGUGUCAAACCAAUAUCACAUCGAGGAAAGGCCGGUAGGAAAUCGUGUGGUGCGAUCUCAAGGUAAAAUUGAAGUACAGGACAUAUGCGUGGCCUGUACUUCUUGAUCUUGCGCUCA